UUAUACCGUGAAACUGCGAAUGGCUCAUUAAAUCAGUUAUCGUUUAUUUGAUAGUACCUUACUACUUGGAUAACCGUGGUAAUUCUAGAGCUAAUACAUGCUAAAAACCCCAACUUCGGAAGGGGUGUAUUUAUUAGAUAAAAAACCAACGCCCUUCGGGGCUUCUUGGUGAUUCAUGAUAACUUUACGGAUCGCAUGGCCUUGCGCCGGCGACGGUUCAUUCAAAUUUCUGCCCUAUCAACUUUCGAUGGUAAGGUAUUGGCUUACCAUGGUUUCAACGGGUAACGGGGAAUUAGGGUUCGAUUCCGGAGAGGGAGCCUGAGAAACGGCUACCACAUCCAAGGAAGGCAGCAGGCGCGCAAAUUACCCAAUCCCGACACGGGGAGGUAGUGACAAUAAAUACUGAUACAGGGCUCUUUUGGGUCUUGUAAUUGGAAUGAGUACAAUUUAAACCUCUUAACGAGGAACAAUUGGAGGGCAAGUCUGGUGCCAGCAGCCGCGGUAAUUCCAGCUCCAAUAGCGUAUAUUAAAGUUGUUGCAGUUAAAAAGCUCGUAGUUGAAACUUGGGUCUGGCUGGCAGGUCCGCCUCACCGCGUGUACUUGUCCGGCCGGGCCUUCCUUCUGGAGAACCUCAUGCCCUUCACUGGGCGUGUUGGGGACCAGGACUUUUACUUUGAAAAAAUUAGAGUGUUCAAAGCAGGCCUUUGCUCGAAUACGUUAGCAUGGAAUAAUAGAAUAGGACGUGCGGUCCUAUUUUGUUGGUUUCUAGGACCGCCGUAAUGAUUAAUAGGGACAGUCGGGGGCAUCAGUAUUCAAUUGUCAGAGGUGAAAUUCUUGGAUUUAUUGAAGACUAACUACUGCGAAAGCAUUUGCCAAGGAUGUUUUCAUUAAUCAGUGAACGAAAGUUAGGGGAUCGAAGACGAUCAGAUACCGUCGUAGUCUUAACCGUAAACUAUGCCGACUAGGGAUCGGGCGAUGUUCUUUUUCUGACUCGCUCGGCACCUUACGAGAAAUCAAAGUUUUUGGGUCU
rnacentral:rRNA from 1 species